rnacentral:tRNA from 1 species
GUCCUCAUAGCUCAGCAGGAUAGAGCGCAAAAUUCCUAAUUUUGAGGCCAGAGGUUCGAAUCCUCUUGGGGACGCCA